GAUGAACGCUGGCGGCGUGCCUAAUACAUGCAAGUCGAGCGAACAGACGAGGAGCUUGCUCCUCUGACGUUAGCGGCGGACGGGUGAGUAACACGUGGAUAACCUACCUAUAAGACUGGGAUAACUUCGGGAAACCGGAGCUAAUACCGGAUAAUAUAUUGAACCGCAUGGUUCAAUAGUGAAAGACGGUUUUGCUGUCACUUAUAGAUGGAUCCGCGCCGCAUUAGCUAGUUGGUAAGGUAACGGCUUACCAAGGCGACGAUGCGUAGCCGACCUGAGAGGGUGAUCGGCCACACUGGAACUGAGACACGGUCCACACUCCUACGGGAGGCAGCAGUAGGGAAUCUUCCGCAAUGGGCGAAAGCCUGACGGAGCAACGCCGCGUGAGUGAUGAAGGUCUUCGGAUCGUAAAACUCUGUCAUUAGGGAAGAACAAAUGUGUAAGUAACUAUGCACGUCUUGACGGUACCUAAUCAGAAAGCCACGGCUAACUACGUG
rnacentral:rRNA from 1 species